rnacentral:rRNA from 1 species
CCUACGGGAGGCAGCAGUAGGGAAUCUUCCACAAUGGACGAAAGUCUGAUGGAGCAACGCCGCGUGAGCGAUGAAGGCCUUCGGGUCGUAAAGCUCUGUUGUUAGGGAAGAACAAGUACCGGAGUAACUGCCGGUACCUUGACGGUACCUAACCAGAAAGCCACGGCUAACUACGUGCCAGCAGCCGCGGUAAUACGUAGGUGGCAAGCGUUGUCCGGAAUUAUUGGGCGUAAAGCGCGCGCAGGCGGUCCUUUAAGUCUGAUGUGAAAGCCCACGGCUCAACCGUGGAGGGUCAUUGGAAACUGGGGGACUUGAGUACAGAAGAGGAAAGCGGAAUUCCACGUGCAGCGGUGAAAUGCGUAGAGAUGUGGAGGAACACCAGUGGCGAAGGCGGCUUUCUGGUCUGUAACUGACGCUGAGGCGCGAAAGCGUGGGGAGCAAACAGGAUUAGAUACCCUGGUAGUCCACGCCGUAAACGAUGAGUGCUAAGUGUUAGGGGGUUUCCGCCCCUUAGUGCUGCAGCUAACGCAUUAAGCACUCCGCCUGGGGAGUACGGCCGCAAGGCUGAAACUCAAAGGAAUUGACGG